AAUCCGUGUUGUGGGCACCUCCACAAAAGAUCCUUGAAGUGCUCCCAUGUCUCAAACAAUGACUCCAACUAUAUUUGUACAAACAACAAUAUCUCAUUGCAAAGCUU